rnacentral:rRNA from 1 species
AGAGUUUGAUCCUGGCUCAGAACGAACGCUGGCGGCAUGCCUAAUACAUGCAAGUCGAACGCGUCUAGCAAUAGACGAGUGGCGGACGGGUGAGUAACGCGUGGGAACCUGCCCUUGAGUGCGGGAUAACCGAGGGAAACUUCGGCUAAUACCGCAUGCGCCCCGGGCAACCGGGGGAAAGAUUUAUCGCUCGAGGAGGGGCCCGCGUCGGAUUAGCUAGUUGGUGGGGUAACGGCCUACCAAGGCGAUGAUCCGUAGCUGGUCUGAGAGGAUGAUCAGCCACACUGGGACUGAGACACGGCCCAGACUCCUACGGGAGGCAGCAGUAGGGAAUAUUGGACAAUGGGGGCAACCCUGAUCCAGCAAUGCCGCGUGAGUGAUGAAGGCCUUAGGGUUGUAAAGCUCUUUCGCGCGCGACGAUGAUGACGGUAGCGCGAGAAGAAGCCCCGGCUAACUUCGUGCCAGCAGCCGCGGUAAUACGAAGGGGGCGAGCGUUGUUC